rnacentral:rRNA from 1 species
GCUAACUUCGUGCCAGCAGCCGCGGUAAUACGAAGGGACCUAGCGUAGUUCGGAAUUACUGGGCUUAAAGAGCUCGUAGGUGGUUAAGAAAGUUGGUGGUGAAAUCCCAAGGCUUAACCUUGGAACUGCCACCAAAACUUUUUAACUAGAGUAUGAUAGAGGUAAGUGGAAUUUCUAGUGUAGAGGUGAAAUUCGUAGAUAUUAGAAAGAACACCAAUUGCGAAGGCAACUUUCUGGAUCAUUACUGACACUGAGGAGCGAAAGCAUGGGUAGCGAAGAGGAUUAGAUACCCUCGUAGUCCAUGCCGUAAACGAUGUGUGCUAGACGUUGGAAACUUAGUUUUCAGUGUCGCAGCAAAAGCGUUAAGCACACCGCCUGGGGAGUACGACCGCAAGGUUAAAACUCAAAUGAAUUGACGGGGACCCGCACAAGUAGUGGAGCAUGUGGUUUAAUUCGAAGAUACGCGCAGAACCUUACCAACACUUGACAUGUUCGUCGCGACUCUAAGAGAUUAGAGUCUUCGGUUCGGCCGGACGAAACACAGGUGCUGCAUGGCUGUCGUCAGCUCGUGUCGUGAGAUGUUGGGUUAAGUCCCGCAACGAGCGCAACCCUUACUUUUAGUUGCUACCAUUUAGUUGGGCACUCUAAAAGAACUGCCAGUGAUAAGCUGGAGGAAGGUGGGGAUGACGUCAAGUCCUCAUGGCCCUUAUGUGUUGGGCUACACACGUGCUACAAUGGUAUUUACAGUGGGAUGCAAAGAGGCAACUCCAAGCAAAUCUCAAAAAGGUACCUCAGUUCGGAUUGCACUCUGCAACUCGAGUGCAUGAAGCUGGAAUUACUAGUAAUCGCGGAUCAGCGCGCCGCGGUGAAUACGUUCCCGGGUCUUGUACACACCGCCCGUCACACCAUGGAAGUUGGUUACACCUUAAGGCAAAGUCUAAAACCUUG